rnacentral:rRNA from 1 species
GAAACUGAGGAUAAUGUUUCAUAGUUGAAUAGGCUUGGAAAAGUUUUUCAAUGAAUGGGAUAAGGAAAAUGGUUCUUAUCUGCCAUAGGAUAGGAUCGUGGUCGAUUAUGGUUGUUGGUGAGGUAACGGCUCACCAAGCCGAUAAUCGAUAGGGGCCGUGAGAGCGGGAGCCCCAAGAUGGGUACUGAGACAACGACCCAGGCCUUACGAGGCGCAGCAGGUGCGAGACCUCCGCAAUACACGAAAGUGUGACGGGGUUACCCAAAGUGUUCUCUUUUGAACUGUGGUAGGUGAGUAAUGUCCCCUACUAGAAAGGAGAGGGCAAGGCUGGUGCCAGCCGCCGCGGUAAAACCAGCUCUUCAAGUGGUCGGGAUAAUUAUUGGGCUUAAAGCGUCCGUAGCCGGUUUAGUAAGUUCCUGGUAAAAUCGGGUAGCUUAACUAUCCGCAUGCUAGGAAUACUGCUAUACUAGAGGGCGGGAGAGGUCUGAGGUACUAUAGGGGUAGGGGUGAAAUCUUAUAAUCCUUGUAGGACCACCAGUGGCGAAGGCGUCAGACUGGAACGCGCCUGACGGUGAGGGACGAAAGCCAGGGGAGCGAACCGGAUUAGAUACCCGGGUAGUCCUGGCCGUAAACGAUGCAUACUAGGUGAUGGUACGGCCGUGAGCCGUAUCAGUGCCGUAGGGAAACCGUUAAGUGUGCCGCCUGGGAAGUACGGUCGCAAGGCUAAAACUUAA